rnacentral:rRNA from 1 species
UACGAAGGGGACUAGCGUUGUUCGGAAUCACUGGGCGUAAAGCGCACGUAGGCGGAUGUGUCAGUCAGGGGUGAAAUCCCGGGGCUCAACUCCAGAACUGCCUUCGAUACUGAGAGUCUCGAGUCCGGGAGAGGUGAGUGGAACUGCGAGUGUAGAGGUGAAAUUCGUAGAUAUUCGCAAGAACACCAGUGGCGAAGGCGGCUCACUGGCCCGGUACUGACGCUGAGGUGCGAAAGCGUGGGGAGCAAACAGG